GGCAGCGUGGCUCAAUGGAAAGAGCCCGGGCUGGGGAGUCCGAGGUCAUGGGUUCGAAUCCCGCCUCCGCCG
rfam:Ornithorhynchus anatinus chromosome X1, whole genome shotgun sequence.